UACGUAGGGGGCAAGCGUUGUCCGGAUUUAUUGGGCGUAAAGCGCUCGCAGGUGGUUCGAUGCGUCGUGCGUGAAAGCCCCCGGCUCAACUGGGGAGUGUCGUGCGAUACGGUCGAACUGGAGGCCAGUAGGGGGAUGCGGAAUUCCGGGUGUAGUGGUGGAAUGCGUGGAGAUCCGGAGGAACACCAGCGGCGAAGGCGGCAUCCUGGACUGGUCCUGACACUCAUGAGCGAAAGCGUGGGGAGCGAUCCGG
rnacentral:rRNA from 1 species